rnacentral:rRNA from 1 species
GAUCAUGGCUCAGAUUGAACGCUGGCGGCAGGCCUAACACAUGCAAGUCGAACGGUAACAGGAAGAAGCUUGCUCUUGCCGACGAGUGGCGGACGGGUGAGUAAUGUCUGGGAAACUGCCUGAUGGAGGGGGAUAACUACUGGAAACGGUAGCUAAUACCGCAUAACGUCGCAAGACCAAAGAGGGGGACCUUCGGGCCUCUUGCCAUCGGAUGUGCCCAGAUGGGAUUAGCUAGUAGGUGGGGUAACGGCUCACCUAGGCGACGAUCCCUAGCUGGUCUGAGAGGAUGACCAGCCACACUGGAACUGAGACACGGUCCAGACUCCUACGGGAGGCAGCAGUGGGGAAUAUUGCACAAUGGGCGCAAGCCUGAUGCAGCCAUGCCGCCGUGUAUGAAGAAGGCCUUCGGGUUGUAAAGUACUUUCAGCGGGGAGGAAGGGAGUAAAGUUAAUACCUUCGCUCAUUGACGUUACCCGCAGAAGAAGCACCGGCUAACUCCGUGCCAGCCGCCGC